UUGAGAAGUCAGAUGGCAGAGCAAUGCAGGGAAAUCUGAAAGGCUAAUGCAGAUAUGAAUAGUGUGGUGGGUACCAGGAAGGGCUUUGGAGCCUGGUGGAUCUGGUUCAAGUCCUGGCUCUGCUAUUUCCUAGCAGUGCAGCUCGGAGACUGCAAGUAUGAACACCUAGGAUGACAUGAUUCCACAUCUCCCUUGCAGUUGGGGUGUGAUCAUAUGACUACAUUCUGGCCACUAAAAUGAGCACAGGAGCAGUGUAUGCCAUCAUCGGGCCUGGGCCAGAAAAAUACCUUUGCAUGUGUGAUCCUCACUUAGCCAGCUGAAUGGAGAAGACUGAAGUGAACCUGGAAAAGGACCCAGAAGUUAGAAGGAGCCUGGAUCCUUGAAUGACUUCAGAUAAUGAACAGUUCACUGCAUAAUAUAUAGCAGCUGCAACCUGGCUCACUCUUUUGAAUGAGUAAUCAGAGGUAAUGCAAAUUAACACCUUCACCUUGGAAAGAAAUAACUUUAGAAUUCAUCCAGUUUGGUAAACAGAAGAAGCAAUCUUAAUCAUAGGGUUUUAAUGAUAAAGGAUUCAGAGAAAAAACAAGGCAUCUCCCUCGUGUUUUUUCAGUAAAAAAAUACAUUCUAAUUAUCUUCGAUAUCUACCAAAAGGGAACAAUUUAAGUUAACUUGAUCCUAUAUUUAAACAAAAUUGAAUAAAAAAUAAUAUGCAAAAACAAU
rnacentral:lncRNA from 1 species